rnacentral:lncRNA from 1 species
UUGCCUUCAGGGGCAAUGUGGCUGGCAAGGGAAGGCCUCUCUGAUCUGCGGUCUACUCUCCUCUCACAGUGCCUUCGACCAUCCAUGCCAGAACUUCGGGCACCAUCCUCGUGGGAAUGUUCCCCAUCUCCAGAAUGCACUGAUGCUCCAGGGGCCCAUGUCCUACGUGCAUGUGCAGAUGACUUCUGUGACACUGGAAUGGCAGUCAUGUCCUGCCCAUGCCCAACUUGGGGGCCAUGAAUGCAGCGAGCCCAAGCCCGGAGGUGAGGAUGUAUGGAGUGGAUGCCUGUCAGCCUGAACACACAGCAUGGGAGGUUACCCCAGGCAGGAUUUCCAGGGCGGGGAUGGUCCGGGAGUAAGAGUGACUUCCGAUGAGGCAUCAGGUGAACCACUACUUAGGAAAGUUUCCUGGUUUGGAUGUGGGAGGUUUAGGUUUUGGGCAUCUGAUAGAAUUGGGGCUAUUUUCUGCCUUUAAAAGACACAUGGAAAAGAUACCUGGGUGGGGAACCCUCGUCCUCUUCAAAUUCCAGUGUCAAUUCUAUGGCCUGCUCCAUGGGCAGUGGUGUCUCCUUCUCCAAACACAGCAGAGGGCAAAGCGGCACCUAUAGAGCUGGAGCCCCUGGGGCUUUGGCACCAUCUUGGAGCUAACUGCCUAUUCCAUGGCUAUUUCUAGGGUCCGCCCUUUACGUGCCCAGAGCUCUUAGAGCCUUUCAGAGCAAUCCUGAUGGAGCUGAGAUGGACAUCUUCUGGAAGCAGAUUGUCAUCACUGCCCCCUGCACAGAGGGGCCAGAAGAUAACCUCGGGCCCUACCACCUGGGUGAGGAGUUCCCAUUCUCCUCUGGCUUUGAAAUGCACCACCUUACUGUGAGGCCCACACAACUCAUCCUGGACAAGCUCCUCAUCAGUGCCUUCGACCAUCCAUGCCAGAACUUUGGGGACCAUCCUCGUGGGAACUUUCCCCAUCUCCAGGAUGCACUGAUGCACCAGGGACCCAUGUCCCACGUGCAUGUGCAGAUGACUUCUGUGACACUGAAAUGGCAGUCAUGUCCUUCCCAUGCCCAACUUGGGGGCCAUGAAUGCAGCGAGCCCAAGCCCGGAGGUGAGGACAUAUGGAAUGGAUGCCUGUCAGC